GAAUUGUUCGCAAUGGGCGCAAGCCUGACGACGCAACGCCGCGUGGAGGAUGAAGGUCUUCGGAUUGUAAACUCCUGUUGAUCGGGAAGAAUGCCUCUGGGGCAAACAGCCUCGGAGGGUGACGGUACCGAUUGAGGAAGCCCCGGCUAACUCUGUGCCAGCAGCCGCGGUAAUACAGAGGGGGCAAGCGUUGUUCGGAAUUACUGGGCGUAAAGGGCGCGUAGGCGGCCAACUAAGUCAGACGUGAAAUCCCCAGGCUCAACCUGGGAACUGCGUCUGAUACUGGAUGGCUUGAAUCCGGGAGAGGGAUGUGGAAUUCCAGGUGUAGCGGUGAAAUGCGUAGAUAUCUGGAGGAACACCGGUGGCGAAGGCGGCAUCCUGGACCGGUAUUGACGCUGAGGCGCGAAAGCCAGGGGAGCAAACGGG
rnacentral:rRNA from 1 species